AAUAGACAGCCUGAGCCUCCAUACUGUGAUGGGCACAGCAAGAUGGUAAGUGGGGUCUGAUGGAAGGAGGCUUUAAUGGCAGCCUGCCCUCUAAAUGGUGUUGACACGCAGAGGAGCCUUUAGCACGAGGUGGCAGGACUCUGUGAUGGACAAUUUUCAUUUGGUUUAGAUAAGGAGCAGGCUGUGAAAUGUGGUGAAUUAUGUGGUGAGAAUAAAAAUGUGAUUAUUUACUGUGGCAGCGAUCACACAACUAGAAAUCAUCUUCUCAAGGGACAGAGGAGACAGACAGGGAUGGAAAUGCACUCCUAAUUUGUCAUCUACGCUGAAUCCUUACAGGGAAUACACGAGAGAAUUAGGAUUUGGAGGAUUAUAUGGAGUAAGAAGAAGUAGAAGAGGAACAGGAUUAGGAGUAGGAUUUGGAGUACCAUAAGGAGGAUAAUCUUUCAGGACUUGGUAAACUGGCCAAAAGGACCAAACAGACCAAUCAUUGCCAAGAAAGAAGAAGUCAAAGAAUGUCUAUUAGUUUAAAAUAAAACCAAACCCAUUGCAGCAAACUAGCUGGCUCCUUG